AGUUUGAUCAUGGCUCAGAACGAACGCUGGCGGCAUGCCUAACACAUGCAAGUCGAAACGGGAUCCUAGCUUGCUAGGUGAGAGUGGCGGACGGGUGAGUAACACGUGGGAAUCUGCCUUUUGGUUCGGGAUAACCGCGGGAAACUGCGGCUAAUACCGAAUGCCCUCGAGAGAGGAAAGAUUUAUCGCCAGAAGAGGAGCCCGCGUCCGAUUAGGUAGUUGGUGAGGUAACGGCUCACCAAGCCUACGAUCUGUAGCUGGUCUGAGAGGAUGAUCAGCCACACUGGACUGAGAUACGGCCCAGACUCCUACGGGAGGCAGCAGUGGGAAUAUUGGACAAUGGGGGCAACCCUGAUCCAGCAAUGCCGCGUGAGUGAUGAAGGCCUUAGGGUUGUAAAGCUCUUUACCAGGGACGAUGAUGACGGUACCUGGAGAAUAAGCCCCGGCUAACUUCGUG
rnacentral:rRNA from 1 species